rnacentral:rRNA from 1 species
GUAUGCUUAACACAUGCAAGUCGAACGGGAUGCUUAGGCAUCUAGUGGCGGACGGGUGAGUAACGCGUGAGAAUCUGGCUCCAGGUCGGGGAUAACAGUUGGAAACGACUGCUAAUACCGGAUGUGCCGAGAGGUGAAAGAUUUAUCGCCUGGAGAUGAGCUCGCGUCUGAUUAGCUAGUUGGCGGUGUAAGGGACCACCAAGGCAUCGAUCAGUAGCUGGUCUGAGAGGAUGAUCAGCCACACUGGGACUGAGACACGGCCCAGACUUCUACGGGAGGCAGCAGUGGGGAAUUUUCCGCAAUGGGCGAAAGCCUGACGGAGCAAUACCGCGUGAGGGAGGAAGGCUCUUGGGUCGUAAACCUCUUUUCUCAAGGAAGAAGAAAGUGACGGUACUUGAGGAAUAAGCAUCGGCUAACUCCGUGCCAGCAGCCGCGGUAAUACGGAGGAUGCAAGCGUUAUCCGGAAUGAUUGGGCGUAAAGGGUCUGCAGGUGGAACUGAAAGUCUGCUGUUAAAGAGUUUGGCUUAACCAAAUAAAAGCGGUGGAAACUACAGAACUAGAGUGCGGUAGGGGCAAAAGGAAUUCCUGGUGUAGCGGUGAAAUGCGUAGAUAUCAGGAAGAACACCGGUGGCGAAAGCGUUUUGCUAGACCGUAACUGACACUGAGGGACGAAAGCUAGGGGAGCGAAUGGGAUUAGAUACCCCAGUAGUCCUAGCCGUAAACGAUGGAUACUAGGCGUGGCUUGUAUCGACCCGAGCCGUGCCGGAGCUAACGCGUUAAGUAUCCCGCCUGGGGAGUACGCACGCAAGUGUGAAACUCAAAGGAAUUGACGGGGGCCCGCACAAGCGGUGGAGUAUGUGGUUUAAUUCGAUGCAACGCGAAGAACCUUACCAAGGCUUGACAUCCUGCGAAUCCCGGUGAAAGCUGGGAGUGCCUUAGGGAGCGCAGAGACAGGUGGUGCAUGGCUGUCGUCAGCUCGUGUCGUGAGAUGUUGGGUUAAGUCCCGCAACGAGCGCAACCCUCGUUUUUAGUUGCCAGCAUUAAGUUGGGCACUCUAGAGAGACUGCCGGUGACAAACCGGAGGAAGGUGAGGAUGACGUCAAGUCAGCAUGCCCCUUACGUCUUGGGCUACACACGUACUACAAUGCUACGGACAGAGGGCAGCGAGCCAGGGAUGGCAAGCGAAUCCAGAAACCGUAGCUCAGUUCAGAUCGAAGGCUGCAACUCGCCUUCGUGAAGGAGGAAUCGCUAGUAAUUGCAGGUCAGCAUACUGCAGUGAAUUCGUUCCC